GAUGACUAACACAGGAAUGGUUGGAAAGAAAAAUCUUUUUAAUCUGGGAAGGAGAGGGAAGGACGAAGGCAAGAAGGAAAAGAUCCAUAGAGCUCAUGAGUGUGGUUAUCAGCCCAAAUCAGAGCUUUUCGAGAAUCGGAAUUAGAACUUGGAUGUGUAUAGUCCCACUAAUGAACCAGGGCUCGUUCUGGGAAGUUCUGGAGGAAAUAAGCCCUAGGCCUGCGGCCCAACCUGGCCUUUGGGGCCCCAGGGGAAGGCUGCCGUAUUAAGGGGGCCCAUGCCCUCAUCGCUGCAGGAGACAAGGGAGCGAGCACUUGGCUGCGCCACAGAAAUUACUGCUGUACCUCGAAUGCCCGCUUCAUUUAUCAAUUUCAUAGCAGAAAAACCCAUAUGACUGCCUUGUUCACUCGCACGCUAAAUCUAGUCACAGAAAGCUCCUCACCGCCAGUCAAGUGUGUUAUGCGCGGGCUUAGAGAAAGUAACUUGAAAUACCACUAAUGAUUUAUACUUAAUUGAACCUCUAAGUGAUUAAAGUGGCAGUAAUGAAUGAAUAACACCCUCCUCGUUCCCUCACCCACUCGGCCCAGCGACUCCGGGCAGAGCGGGCCUCGCCUUGGGAAGUCAGCUACAAAGGCCGGCGUGAACCAUUCUCUCAGCUUCCCCCAAGCCGCUCAUCUGGGUCCUGGCUAAAUUGCUCUCGCUUGCAGCAAAUGACUCCAUAAGCACCAUAUCAGACCAUUGAUCCUUUUUAUUAGAUUACCCAAUUGUAAGGUUAAUGCAUUUGCAUUUGCCAAACGGAGUGGGUCAGCCUGAAUCCCACACGGGGAUCCACGUUUAAACGGACACACAGCCGAGGAGAGUGGCUCUGUCAACGUAUUGAUUUGUUGGAACAGGAACCAGCUGGAUGCUGAUACCCUUGCCUCAGCCCACCCCCUACCUCCAAAAGAAAGUGCAGGAGAACACACUUCCCGGGCUGUGUCUUCCUUAGCACAAACCCCCUUGACAGCCAGGAGGCCAACGCCAGCGGCCACCCACAAUACUUCUGUUUCUGGAAGAAAGAAGGGCCCUGCAAAGGUUUCGGUCACCUCAGACACAGACAAAGAAGCAGAAACUGGGACUUGCAGAGGCCAAGUAACUGUCCAAUGUGACGCAGCUGGAAAGGGGAGAGCUGGAGCUCAAGCCCAAGCCGGUCAGACUCCAGGACCUGCGUUCUGUCACUCUGCCCCACUCCCAGGACUUGAAGUAUCUUUGGGCGGGGAACAAACCAGAGUUCUGCAGAGACUCUGGCUUCUCCUUCCCUUCCUCGUCUUCUAUUCCAUUAAGCCAACAGCCUCAGGAGCAGGCAAGGGAUAGGAAGGCGUUGGUCCAGAGCGAAAAGAGAGCUUCAGAUGCGAAGGGGAAAGAAAAUCACUGAGUGAGCAACAGUUGACCUUGAUUCCAGAUUAAUGGAGUAUAAAUUAACAACAAACGUGUGCAAUGUCCUGGAAGUCAGAUGCUUCUCCACACUCCCUCACUGUCCUCCGGCAAAAUGCUUCCUGUCCCUGAGCUGCUUUUCUACAAAUGUGAUGUGGGGGAACGGGGACUGCUGUCUGCAAGUCACCCUUGCCGUGGUGGGAACCCAUUCGGCCUGGCCUUUAUGCAAUGAAGGGCCUCCAGUUGAAGAUACAGACAGUGUCUCUGUUAAUAACACCAUUUUAUGGAAUUAAAUUUGGCGUCUGUUAAAAGUAUUCAUUAGUUGAAUGUAACAUUUACUGCCCCACAAUUUUGGUAAUACCAUUUUGGUCUUUUUUCCCCAAAUAUUUUAAUACACCUGCA
rnacentral:lncRNA from 1 species